GGGGAACAGCAGGGACAGAUCAGUCUCAUUGGGGACACAAGGCCACGCCAGAGGGUUUAGUAGAGAGAUACAUGUAAAUACAAGGUAGGGACCGAUCAGUCUCAUUGGGGACACAAGACCACGUCAGAGGGUUUAGUAGAGAGAUACAUGUAAAUACAAGGUAGGGACCAGCAGGGACAGAUCAGUCUCAUUGGGGAUACAGGCCACUCUCUCUGACAUCACUUCUUCUGGAUGCAAACUACAAGCUCAGGGUCCGAAAUGGUACCCUAUUCCCUAUAUAGGGAAUAGGGCUCUGGUCGAAAGUAGUGCACUAUAUAGGGAAUAAGGCUGUGGUCUAAAGUAGUGCACUAUAUAGGGAAUAAGGCUCUGGUCUAAAGUAGUGCACUAUUAUAGGGAAUAGGGCUCUGGUCUAAAGUAGUGCACUAUAUAGGGAAUAGGGUGCCAUAGGGCUCUGGUCUAAAGUAGUGCACUAUUAUAGGGAAUAGGGUGCCAUUUGGGAAACAUCAAUAGAAUGGAUGAAAUCCUGCCAGAAUCACAACGUCAGGGGACCCUAUAAAGUCAAGGAUCCAGAGAGUGAUGUCGUAGUGAGACAAACCGCUCCAGAGGGGGGGUUGAAUAGUCAAUACAAGUCCUAUUGUAUUGGUUCUUAAUGAACAGUUUCAUUGGGUGUGUCUAAAACGUCUUCCUUCCCUCUGUCUCUCACUUCCUGUCCUUCACGAGAGCCUAUUAGAAGUCACAGGACAGAUGGUAGAUGGUAGACUAUCAGGGACUGUAUUCAUAAUGUAGAUGGUAGAUGGUAGACUAUCAGGGACUGUAUUCAUAAUGUAGAUGGUAGAUGGUAGACUCUCAGGGACUGUAUUCAUAAUGUAGAUGGUAGACUAUCAGGGACUGUAUUCAUAAUGUAGAUGGUAGACUAUCAGGGACUGUAUUCAUAAUGUAGAUGGUAGACUCUCAGGGACUGUAUUCAUAAUGUAGAUGGUAGACUAUCAGGGACUGUAUUCAUAAUGUAGAUGGUAGACUAUCAGGGACUGUAUUCAUAAUGUAGAUGGUAGAUGGUAGACUAUCAGGGACUGUAUUCAUAAUGUAGAUGGUAGAUGGUAGACUAUCAGGGACUGUAUUCAUAAUGUAGAUGGUAGAUGGUAGACUAUCAGGGACUGUAUUCAUAAUGUAGAUGGUAGAUGGUAGACUAUCAGGGACUGUAUUCAUAAUGUAGAUGGUAGAUGGUAGACUCUCAGGGACUGUAUUCAUAAUGUAGAUGGUAGAUGGUAGACUAUCAGGGACUGUAU
rnacentral:lncRNA from 1 species